GGAGCUAGGGUUAGGGUUAGGGUUAGGGUUGGAGUUAGGGUUGGUGUUGGAGCUAGGGUUAGGGUUGGGCUUUGAGCUAGGACUUUUCUGAGUGCAAUGAACCAACUCCCGAGUCUCUAGGACGUUCCCUAAAAAAAUUUGAUUUUUUCCCAUAGGAAUGCAUGGGUUAGGGUUAGGGUUAGGGUUAGGGUUGGAGCUAGGGUUAGGGUUAGGGUUAGGGUUGGAGUUAGGGUUAGUGUUGGAGCUAGGGUUAGGGUUGGGCUUGGAGCUAGGAUUUUUCUGAGUGCAAUGAACCAACUCCCGAGUCUCUAGGACGUUCCAAAAAAAAUUUGAUUUUUUCCCAUAGGAAUGCAUGGGUUAGGGUUAUGGUUAGGGUUAGGGUUGGAGCUAGGGUUAGGGUUAGGGUUAGGGUUGGAGUUAGGGUUAGUGUUGGCGCUAGGGUUAGGGUUGGGCUUGGAGCUAGGAUUUUUCUGAGUGCAAUGAACCAACUCCCGAGUCUCUAGGACGUUCCUAAAAAAAUUUGAUUUUUUCCCAUAGGAAUGCAUGGGUUAGGGUUAGGGUUAGGGUUGGAGCUAGGGUUAGGGUUAGGGUUAGGGUUGGAGAUAGGGUUAGUGUUGGAGCUAGGGUUAGGGUUGGGCUUGGAGCUAGGAUUUUUCUGAGUGCAAUGAACCAACUCCCGAGUCUCUAGGACGUUCCUAAAAAAAUUUGAUUUUUUCCCAUAGGAAUGCAUGGGUCAGGGUUAGGGUUAGGGUUGGAGCUAGGGUUAGGGUUAGGGUUAGGGUUGGAGUUAGGGUUAGUGUUGGAGCUAGGGUUAGGGUUGGGCUUGGAGCUAGGAUUUUUCUGAGUGCACUGAACCAACUCCCGAGUCUCUAGGACAUUCCUAAAAAAAUUUGAUUUUUUCCCAUAGGAAUGCAUGGGUUAGGGUUAGGGUUAGGGUUGGAGCUAGGGUUAGGGUUAGGGUUAGGGUUGGAGUUAGGGUUAGUGUUGGAGCUAGGGUUAGGGUUGGGCUUGGAGCUAGGAUUUUUCUGAGUGCACUGAACCAACUCCCGAGUCUCUAGGACAUUCCUAAAAAAAUUAGAUUUUUUCCCAUAGGAAUGCAUGGGUUAGGGUUAUGGUUAGGGUUAGGGUUGGAGCUAGGGUUAGGGUUAGGGUUAGGGUUGGAGUUAGGGUUGGUGUUGGAGCUAGGGUUAGGGUUGGGCUUUGAGCUAGGACUUUUCUGAGUGCAAUGAACCAACUCCCGAGUCUCUAGGACGUUCCCUAAAAAAAUUUGAUUUUUUCCCAUAGGAAUGCAUGGGUUAGGGUUAGGGUUAGGGUUAGGGUUGGAGCUAGGGUUAGGGUUAGGGUUAGGGUUAGAGUUAGGGUUAGUGUUGGAGCUAGGGUUAGGGUUGGGCUUGGAGCUAGGAUUUUUCUGAGUGCACUGAACCAACUCCCGAGUCUCUAGGACAUUCCUAAAAAAAAUUGACUUUUUCCCAUAGGAAUGCAUGGGUUAGGGUUAGGGUUAGGGUUAGGGUUGGAGCUAGGGUUAGGGUUAGGGUUAGGGUUGGAGUUAGGGUUAGUGUUGGAGCUAGGGUUAGGGUUGGGCUUGGAGCUAGGACUUUUCUGAGUGCAAUGAACCAACUCCCGAGUCUCUAGGACGUUCCCUAAAAAAAUUUGAUUUUUUCCCAUAGGAAUGCAUGGGUUAGGGUUAGGUGUGGGGUUGGAGCUAGGGUUAGGGUUAGGGUUAGGGUUGGAGUUAGGGUUAGUGUUGGAGCUAGGGUUAGGUUUGGGCUUGGAGCUAGGAUUUUUCUGAGUGCAAUGAACCAACUCCCGAGUCUCUAGGACGUUCCUAAAAAAUUUUGAUUUUUUCCCAUAGGAAUGCAUGGGUUAGGGUUAGGGUUAGGGUUGGAGCUAGGGUUAGGGUUAGGGUUAGGGUUGGAGUUAGGGUUAGUGUUGGAGCUAGGGUUAGGGUUGGGCUUGGAGCUAGGAUUUUUCUGAGUGCAAUGAACCAACUCCCGAGUCUCUAGGAAGUUCCUAAAAAAAUUUGAUUUUUUCCCAUAGGAAUGCAUGGGUUAGGGUUAGGGUUAGGGUUGGAGCUAGGGUUAGGGUUAGGGUUAGGGUUGGAGUUAGGGUUAGUGUUGGAGCGAGGGUUAGGGUUGGGCUUGGAGCUAGGAUUUUUCUGAGUGCAAUGAACCAACUCCCGAGUCUCUAGGACGUUCCUAAAAAAAUUUGAUUUUUUCCCAUAGGAAUGCAUGGGUUAGGGUUAGGGUUAGGGUUGGAGCUAGGGUUAGGGUUAGGGUUAGGGUUGGAGUUAGGGUUAGUGUUGGAGCUAGGGUUAGGGUUGGGCUUGGAGCUAGGAUUUUUCUGAGUGCAAUGAACCAACUCCCGAGUCUCUAGGACGUUCCUAAAAAAAUUUGAUUUUUUCCCAUAGGAAUGCAUGGGUUAGGGUUAGGGUUAGGGUUGGAGCUAGGGUUAGGGUUAGGGUUAGGGUUGGAGUUAGGGUUAGUGUUAGAGCUAGGGUAAGGUUUGGGCUUGGAGCUAGGAUUUUUCUGAGUGCAAUGAACCAACUCCCGAGUCUCUAGGACGUUCCUAAAAAAAUUUGAUUUUUUUCCAUAGGAAUGCAUGGGUUAGGGUUAUGGUUAGGGUUAGGGUUGGAGCUAGGGUUAGGGUUAGGGUUAGGGUUGGAGUUAGGGUUAGUGUUGGAGCUAGGGUUAGGGUUGGGCUUGGAGCUAGGAUUUAUCUGAGUGCAAUGAACCAACUCCCGAGUCUCUAGGACGUUCCUAAAAAAAUUUGAUUUUUUCCCAUAGGAAUGCAUGGGUUAGGGUUAGGGUUAGGGUUGGAGCUAGGGUUAGGGUUAGGGUUAGGGUUGCAGUUAGGGUUAGUGUUGGAGCUAGGGUAAGGUUUGGGCUUGGAGCUAGGAUUUUUCUGAGUGCAAUGAACCAACUCCCGAGUCUCUAGGACGUUCCUAAAAAAAUUUGAUUUUUUUCCAUAGGAAUGCAUGGGUUAGGGUUAGGGUUGGAGCUAGUGUUAGGGUUAGGGUUGGAGCUAGGGUUAGGGUUAGGGUUAGGGUUGGAGUUAGGGUUAGUGUUGGAGCUAGGGUUAGGGUUGGGCUUGGAGCUAGGAUUUUUCUGAGUGCAAUGAACCAACUCCCGAGGCUCUUGGACGUUCCUAAAAAAAUUAGAUUUUUUCCCAUAGGAAUGCAUGGGUUAGGGUUAGGGUUAGGGUUGGAGCUAGGGUUAGGGUUAGGGUUAGGGUUGGAGUUAGGGUUAGUGUUGGAGCUAGGGUUAGGGUUGGGCUUGGAGCUAGGAUUUUUCUGAGUGCAAUGAACCAACUCCCGAGUCUCUAGGACGUUCCUAAAAAAAUUUGAUUUUUUCCCAUAGGAAUGCAUGGGUUAGGGUUAGGGUUAGGGUUGGAGCUAGGGUUAGGGUUAGGGUUAGGGUUGGAGUUAAGGUUAGUGUUGGAGCUAGGGUUAGGGUUGGGCUUGGAGCUAGGAUUUUUCUGAGUGCAGUGAACCAACUCCCGAGUCUCUAGGACGUUCCUAAAAAAAUUUGAUUUUUUCCCAUAGGAAUGCAUGGGUUAGGGUUAUGGUUAGGGUUAGGGUUGGAGCUAGGGUUAGGGUUAGGGUUAGGGUUGGAGUUAGGGUUAGUGUUGGAGCUAGGGUUAGGGUUGGGCUUGGAGCUAGGAUUUUUCUGAGUGCAAUGAACCAACUCCCGAGUCUCUAGGACGUUCCUAAAAAAAUUUGAUUUUUUCCCAUAGGAAUGCAUGGGUUAGGGUUAGGGUUAGGGUUGGAGCUAGGGUUAGGGUUAGGGUUGGAGUUAGGGUUAGUGUUGGAGCUAGGGUUAGGGUUGGGCUUGGAGCUAGGAUUUUUCUGAGUGCACUGAACCAACUCCCGAGUCUCUAGGACAUUCCUAAAAAAAUUUGAUUUUUUCCCAUAGGAAUGCAUGGGUUAGGGUUAUGGUUAGGGUUAGGGUUGGAGCUAGGGUUAGGGUUAGGGUUAGGGUUGGAGUUAGGGUUAGUGUUGGAGCUAGGGUUAGGGUUGGGCUUGGAGCUAGGAUUUUUCUGAGUGCAAUGAACCAACUCCCGAGUCUCUAGGACGUUCCUAAAAAAAUUUGAUUUUUUCCCAUAGGAAUGCAUGGGUUAGGGUUAGGGUUAGGGUUGGAGCUAGGGUUAGGGUUAGGGUUAGGGUUGGAGUUAGGGUUAGUGUUAGAGCUAGGGUAAGGUUUGGGCUUGGAGCUAGGAUUUUUCUGAGUGCAAUGAACCAACUCCCGAGUCUCUAGGACGUUCCUAAAAAAAUUUGAUUUUUUCCCAUAGGAAUGCAUGGGUUAGGGUUAGGGUUAGGGUUGGAGCUAGGGUUAGGGUUAGGGUUAGGGUUGCAGUUAGGGUUAGUGUUGGAGCUAGGGUAAGGUUUGGGCUUGGAGCUAGGAUUUUUCUGAGUGCAAUGAACCAACUCCCGAGUCUCUAGGACGUUCCUAAAAAAAUUUGAUUUUUUUCCCAUAGGAAUGCAUGGGUUAGGGUUAUGGUUAGGGUUAGGGUUGGAGCUAGGGUUAGGGUUAGGGUUAGGGUUGGAGUUAGGGUUAGUGUUGGAGCUAGGGUUAGGGUUGGGCUUGGAGCUAGGAUUUAUCUGAGUGCAAUGAACCAACCCCCGAGUCUCUAGGACGUUCCUAAAAAAAUUUGAUUUUUUCCCAUAGGAAUGCAUGGGUUAGGGUUAUGGUUAGCGUUAGGGUUGGAGCUAGGGUUAGGGUUAGGGUUAGGGUUGGAGUUAGGGUUAGUGUUGGAGCUAGGGUUAGGGUUGGGCUUGGAGCUAGGAUUUUUCUGAGUGCACUGAACCAACUCCCGAGUCUCUAGGACGUUCCUAAAAAAAUUUGAUUUUUUCCCAUAGGAAUGCAUGGGUCAGGGUUAGGGUUAGGGUUGGAGCUAGGGUUAGGGUUAGGGUUAGGGUUGGAGUUAGGGUUAGUGUUGGAGCUAGGGUUAGGGUUGGGCUUGGAGCUAGGAUUUUUCUGAGUGCAAUGAACCAACUCCCGAGUCUCUAGGACGUUCCUAAAAAAAUUUGAUUUUUUCCCAUAGGAAUGCAUGGGUUAGGGUUAGGGUUAGGGUUAGGGUUGGAGCUAGGGUUAGGGUUAGGGUUAGGGUUGGAGUUAGGGUUAGUGUUGGAGCUAGGGUUAGGGUUGGGCUUGGAGCUAGGAUUUUUCUGAGUGCAAUGAACCAACUCCCGAGUCUCUAGGACGUUCCUAAAAAAAUUUGAUUUUUUCCCAUAGGAAUGCAUGGGUUAGGGUUAGGGUUAGGGUUGGAGCUAGGGUUAGGGUUAGGGUUAGGGUUGGAGUUAGGGUUAGUGUUGGAGCUAGGGUUAGGGUUGGGCUUGGAGCUAGGAUUUUUCUGAGUGCAAUGAACCAACUCCCGAGUCUCUAGGACGUUCCUAAAAAAAUUUGAUUUUUUCCCAUAGGAAUGCAUGGGUUAGGGUUAGGGUUAGGGUUGGAGCUAGGGUUAGGGUUAGGGUUAGGGUUGGAGUUAGGGUUAGUGUUGGAGCUAGGGUUAGGGUUGGGCUUGGAACUAGGACUUUUCUGAGUGCAAUGAACCAACUCCCGAGUCUCUAGGACGUUCCCUAAAAAAAUUUGAUUUUUUCCCAUAGGAAUGCAUGGGUUAGGGUUAGGGUUAGGGUUGGAGCUAGGGUUAGGGUUAGGGUUAGGGUUAGAGUUAGGGUUAGUGUUGGAGCUAGGGUUAGGGUUGGGCUUGGAGCUAGGAUUUUUCUGAGUGCACUGAACCAACUCCCGAGUCUCUAGGACGUUCCUAAAAAAAUUUGAUUUUUUCCCAUAGGAAUGCAUGGGUUAGGGUUAGGGUUAGGGUUGGAGCUAGGGUAAGGGUUAGGGUUAGGGUUGGAGUUAGGGUUAGUGUUGGAGCUAGGGUUAGGGUUGGGCUUGGAGCUAGGACUUUUCUGAGUGCAAUGAACCAACUCCCGAGUCUCUAGGACGUUCCCUAAUAAAAUUUGAUUUUUUCCCAUAGGAAUGCAUGGGUUAGGGUUAGGGUUAGGGUUGGAGCUAGGGUUAGGGUUAGGGUUAGGGUUGGAGUUAGGGUUAGUGUUGGAGCUAGGGUUAGGGUUGGGCUUGGAGCUAGGAUUUUUCUGAGUGCACUGAACCAACUCCCGAGUCUCUAGGACAUUCCUAAAAAAAUUUGAUUUUUUCCCAUAGGAAUGCAUGGGUUAGGGUUAUGGUUAGGGUUAGGGUUGGAGCUAGGGUUAGGGUUAGGGUUAGGGUUGGAGUUAGGGUUAGUGUUGGAGCUAGGGUUAGGGUUGGGCUUGGAGCUAGGAUUUUUCUGAGUGCAAUGAACCAACUCCCGAGUCUCUUGGACAUUCCUAAAAAAAUUUGAUUUUUUCCCAUAGGAAUGCAUGGGUUAGGGUUAGGGUUAGGGUUGGAGCUAGGGUUAGGGUUAGGGUUAGGGUUGGAGUUAGGGUUAGUGUUGGAGCUAGGGUUAGGGUUGGGCUUGGAGCUAGGAUUUUUCUGAGUGCAAUGAACCAACUCCCGAGUCUCUAGGACGUUCCUAAAAAAAUUUGAUUUUUUCCCAUAGGAAUGCAUGGGUUAGGGUUAGGGUUAGGGUUAGGGUUGGAGCUAGGGUUAGGGUUAGGGUUAGGGUUGGAGUUAGGGUUAGUGUUGGAGCUAGGGUUAGGGUUGGGCUUGGAGCUAGGAUUUUUCUGAGUGCAAUGAACCAACCCCGAGUCUCUAGGACGUUCCUAAAAAAAUUUGAUUUUUUCCCAUAGGAAUGCAUGGGUUAGGGUUAUGGUUAGGGUUAGGGUUGGAGCUAGGGUUAGGGUUAGGGUUAGGGUUGGAGUUAGGGUUAGUGUUGGAGCUAGGGUUAGGGUUGGGCUUGGAGCUAGGAUUUUUCUGAGUGCACUGAACCAACUCCCGAGUCUCUAGGACAUUCCUAAAAAAAAUUGAUUUUUUCCCAUAGGAAUGCAUGGGUUAGGGUUAGGGUUAGGGUUGGAGCUAGGGUUAGGGUUAGGGUUGGAGUUAGGGUUAGUGUUGGAGCUAGGGUUAGGGUUGGGCUUGGAGCUAGGACUUUUCUGAGUACAAUGAACCAACUCCCGAGUCUCUAGGACGUUCCCUAAAAAAAUUUGAUUUUUUCCCAUAGGAAUGCAUGGGUUAGGGUUAGGGUUAGGGUUGGAGCUAGGGUUAGGGUUAGGGUUAGGGUUGGAGUUAGGGUUAGUGUUGGAGCUAGGGUUAGGGUUGGGCUUGGAGCUAGGAUUUUUCUGAGUGCACUGAACCAACUCCCGAGUCUCUAGGACAUUCCUAAAAAAAUUUGAUUUUUUCCCAUAGGAAUGCAUGGGUUAGGGUUAUGGUUAGGGUUAGGGUUGGAGCUAGGGUUAGGGUUAGGGUUAGGGUUGGAGUUAGGGUUAGUGUUGGAGCUAGGGUUAGGGUUGGGCUUGGAGCUAGGAUUUUUCUGAGUGCAAUGAACCAACUCCUGAGUCUCUAGGACUUUCCUAAAAAAAUUUGAUUUUUUCCCAUAGGAAUGCAUGGGUUAGGGUUAGGGUUAGGGUUAGGGUUGGAGCUAGGGUUAGGGUUAGGGUUAGGGUUGGAGUUAGGGUUAGUGUUGGAGCUAGGGUUAGGGUUGGGCUUGGAGCUAGGAUUUUUCUGAGUGCAAUGAACCAACCCCUAGUCUCUAGGACGUUCCUAAAAAAAUUUGAUUUUUUCCCAUAGGAAUGCAUGGGUUAGGGUUAUGGUUAGGGUUAGGGUUGGAGCUAGGGUUAGGGUUAGGGUUAGGGUUGGAGUUAGGGUUAGUGUUGGAGCUAGGGUUAGGGUUGGGCUUGGAGCUAGGAUUUUUCUGAGUGCACUGAACCAACUCCCGAGUCUCUAGGACAUUCCUAAAAAAAUUGAUUUUUUCCCAUAGGAAUGCAUGGGUUAGGGUUAGGGUUGGAGCUAGGGUUAGGGUUAGGGUUGGAGUUAGGGUUAGUGUUGGAGCUAGGGUUAGGGUUGGGCUUGGAGCUAGGACUUUUCUGAGUGCAAUGAACCAACUCCCGAGUCUCUAGGACGUUCCCUAAAAAAAUUUGAUUUUUUCCCAUAGGAAUGCAUGGGUUAGGGUUAGGGUUAGGGUUGGAGCUAGGGUUAGGGUUAGGGUUAGGGUUGGAGUUAGGGUUAGUGUUGGAGCUAGGGUUAGGGUUGGGCUUGGAGCUAGGAUUUUUCUGAGUGCACUGAACCAACUCCCGAGUCUCUAGGACAUUCCUAAAAAAAUUGAUUUUUUCCCAUAGGAAUGCAUGGGUUAGGGUUAGGGUUAGGGUUGGAGCUAGGGUUAGGGUUAGGGUUAGGGUUGGAGUUAGGGUUAGUGUUGGAGCUAGGGUUAGGGUUGGGCUUGGAGCUAGGAUUUUUCUGAGUGCACUGAACCAACUCCCGAGUCUCUAGGACAUUCCUAAAAAAAAAUUUGAUUUUUUCCCAUAGGAAUGCAUGGGUUAGGGUUAUGGUUAGGGUAAGGGUUGGAGCUAGGGUUAGGGUUAGGGUUAGGGUUGGAGUUAGGGUUAGUGUUGGAGCUAGGGUUAGGGUUGGGCUUGGAGCUAGGAUUUUUCUGAGUGCAAUGAACCAACUCCCGAGUCUCUUGGACAUUCCUAAAAAAAUUUGAUUUUUUCCCAUAGGAAUGCAUGGGUUAGGGUUAGGGUUAGGGUUGGAGCUAGGGUUAGGGUUAGGGUUAGUGUUGGAGCUAGGGUUAGGGUUGGGCUUGGAGCUAGGACUUUUCUGAGUGCAAUGAACCAACUCCCGAGUCUCUAGGACGUUCCCUAAAAAAAUUUGAUUUUUUCCCAUAGGAAUGCAUGGGUUAGGGUUAGGGUUAGGGUUGGAGCUAGGGUUAGGGUUAGGGUUAGGGUUGGAGUUAGGGUUAGUGUUGGAGCUAGGGUUAGGGUUGGGCUUGGAGCUAGGAUUUUUCUGAGUGCACUGAACCAACUCCCGAGUCUCUAGGACAUUCCUAAAAAAAUUUGAUUUUUUCCCAUAGGAAUGCAUGGGUUAGGGUUAUGGUUAGGGUUAGGGUUGGAGCUAGGGUUAGGGUUAGGGUUAGGGUUGGAGUUAGGGUUAGUGUUGGAGCUAGGGUUAGGGUUGGGCUUGGAGCUAGGAUUUUUCUGAGUGCAAUGAACCAACUCCCGAGUCUCUAGGACGUUCCUAAAAAAUUUGAUUUUUUCCCAUAGGAAUGCAUGGGUUAGGGUUAGGGUUAGGGUUGGAGCUAGGGUUAGGGUUAGGGUUAGGGUUGGAGUUAGGGUUAGUGUUGGAGCUAGGGUUAGGGUUGGGCUUGGAGCUAGGAUUUUUCUGAGUGCAAUGAACCAACUCCCGAGUCUCUAGGACGUUCCUAAAAAAAUUUGAUUUUUUCCCAUAGGAAUGCAUGGGUUAGGGUUAGGGUUAGGGUUAGGGUUGGAUCUAGGGUUAGGGUUAGGGUUAGGGUUGGAGUUAGGGUUAGUGUUGGAGCUAGGGUUAGGGUUGGGCUUGGAGCUAGGAUUUUUCUGAGUGCAAUGAACCAACCCCGAGUCUCUAGGACGUUCCUAAAAAAAUUUGAUUUUUUCCCAUAGGAAUGCAUGGGUUAGGGUUAUGGUUAGGGUUAGGGUUGGAGCUAGGGUUAGGGUUAGGGUUAGGGUUGGAGUUAGGGUUAGUGUUGGAGCUAGGGUUAGGGUUGGGCUUGGAGCUAGGAUUUUUCUGAGUGCACUGAACCAACUCCCGAGUCUCUAGGACAUUCCUAAAAAAAAUUGAUUUUUUCCCAUAGGAAUGCAUGGGUUAGGGUUAGGGUUAGGGUUGGAGCUAGGGUUAGGGUUAGGGUUGGAGUUAGGGUUAGUGUUGGAGCUAGGGUUAGGGUUGGGCUUGGAGCUAGGACUUUUCUGAGUGCAAUGAACCAACUCCCGAGUCUCUAGGACGUUCCCUAAAAAAAUUUGAUUUUUUCCCAUAGGAAUGCAUGGGUUAGGGUUAGGGUUAGGGUUGGAGCUAGGGUUAGGGUUAGGGUUAGGGUUGGAGUUAGGGUUAGUGUUGGAGCUAGGGUUAGGGUUGGGCUUGGAGCUAGGAUUUUUCUGAGUGCACUGAACCAACUCCCGAGUCUCUAGGACAUUCCUAAAAAAAAUUGAUUUUUUUCCCAUAGGAAUGCAUGGGUUAGGGUUAGGGUUAGGGUUGGAGCUAGGGUUAGGGUUAGGGUUAGGGUUGGAGUUAGGGUUAGUGUUGGAGCUAGGGUUAGGGUUGGGCUUGGAGCUAGGAUUUUUCUGAGUGCACUGAACCAACUCCCGAGUCUCUAGGACAUUCCUAAAAAAAUUUGAUUUUUUCCCAUAGGAAUGCAUGGGUUAGGGCUAUGGUUAGGGUAAGGGUUGGAGCUAGGGUUAGGGUUAGGGUGAGGGUUGGAGUUAGGGUUAGUGUUGGAGCUAGGGUUAGGGUUGGGCUUGGAGCUAGGAUUUUUCUGAGUGCAAUGAACCAACUCCCGAGUCUCUUGGACAUUCCUAAAAAAAUUUGAUUUUUUCCCAUAGGAAUGCAUGGGUUAGGGUUAGGGUUAGGGUUGGAGCUAGGGUUAGGGUUAGGGUUAGGGUUGGAGUUAGGGUUAGUGUUGGAGCUAGGGUUAGGGUUGGGCUUGGAGCUAGGAUUUUUCUGAGUGCAAUGAACCAACUCCCGAGUCUCUAGGACGUUCCUAAAAAAAUUUGAUUUUUUCCCAUAGGAAUGCAUGGGUUAGGGUUAGGGUUAGGGUUAGGGUUGGAGCUAGGGUUAGGGUUAGGGUUAGGGUUGGAGUUAGGGUUAGUGUUGGAGCUAGGGUUAGGGUUGGGCUUGGAGCUAGGAUUUUUCUGAGUGCAAUGAACCAACCCCGAGUCUCUAGGACGUUCCUAAAAAAAUUUGAUUUUUUCCCAUAGGAAUGCAUGGGUUAGGGUUAUGGUUAGGGUUAGGGUUGGAGCUAGGGUUAGGGUUAGGGUUAGGGUUGGAGUUAGGGUUAGUGUUUGAGCUAGGGUUAGGGUUGGGCUUGGAGCUAGGAUUUUUCUGAGUGCAAUGAACCAACUCCCGAGUCUCUAGGACGUUCCUAAAAAAAUUUGAUUUUUUCCCAUAGGAAUGCAUGGGUUAGGGUUAGGGUUAGGGUUGGAGCUAGGGUUAGGGUUAGGGUUAGGGUUGGAGUUAGGGUUAGUGUUGGAGCUAGGGUUAGGGUUGGGCUUGGAGCUAGGAUUUUUCUGAGUGCAAUGAACCAACUCCCGAGUCUCUAGGACGUUCCUAAAACAAUUUGAUUUUUUCCCAUAGGAAUGCAUGGGUUAGGGUUAGGGUUAGGGUUGGAGCUAGGGUUAGGGUUAGGGUUAGGGUUGGAGUUAGGGUUAGUGUUGGAGCUAGGGUUAGGGUUGGGCUUGGAGCUAGGACUUUUCUGAGUGCAAUGAACCAACUCCCGAGUCUCUAGGACGUUCCCUAAAAAAAUUUGAUUUUUUCCCAUAGGAAUGCAUGGGUUAGGGUUAGGGUUAGGGUUGGAGCUAGGGUUAGGGUUAGGGUUAGGGUUAGAGUUAGGGUUAGUGUUGGAGCUAGGGUUAGGGUUGGGCUUGGAGCUAGGAUUUUUCUGAGUGCACUGAACCAACUCCCGAGUCUCUAGGACAUUCCUAAAAAAAUUGAUUUUUUUCCAUAGGAAUGCAUGGGUUAGGGUUAGGGUUAGGGUUGGAGCUAGGGUUAGUGUUAGGUUUAGGGUUGGAGUUAGGGUUAGUGUUUGAGCUAGGGUUAGGGCUGGGCUUGGAGCUAGGAUUUUUCUGAGUGCAAUGAACCAACUCCCGAGUCUCUAGGACGUUCCUAAAAAAAAUUGAUUUUUUCCCAUAGGAAUGCAUGGGUUAGGGUUAGGGUUAGGGUUGGAGCUAGGGUUAGGGUUAGGGUUAGGGUUGGAGUUAGGGUUAGUGUUGGAGCUAGGGUUAGGGUUGGGCUUGGAGCUAGGAUUUUUCUGAGUGCAAUGAACCAACUCCCGAGUCUCUAGGACGUUCCUAAAAAAAUUUGAUUUUUUCCCAUAGGAAUGCAUGGGUUAGGGUUAGGGUUAGGGUUGGAGCUAGGGUUAGGGUUAGGGUUAGGGUUGGAGUUAGGGUUAGUGUUGGAGCUAGGGUUAGGGUUGGGCUUGGAGCUAGGAUUUUUCUGAGUGCACUGAACCAACUCCCGAGUCUCUAGGACAUUCCUAAAAAAAUUUGAUUUUUUCCCAUAGGAAUGCAUGGGUUAGGGUUAGGGUUAGGGUUGGAGCUAGGGUUAGGGUUAGGGUUGGAGUUAGGGUUAGUGUUGGAGCUAGGGUUAGGGUUGGGCUUGGAGCUAGGACUUUUCUGAGUGCAAUGAACCAACUCCCGAGUCUCUAGGACGUUCCCUAAAAAAAAUUGAUUUUUUCCCAUAGGAAUGCAUGGGUUAGGGUUAGGGUUAGGGUUGGAGCUAGGGUUAGGGUUAGGGUUAGGGUUAGAGUUAGGGUUAGUGUUGGAGCUAGGGUUAGGGUUGGGCUUGGAGCUAGGAUUUUUCUGAGUGCACUGAACCAACUCCCGAGUCUCUAGGACAUUCCUAAAAAAAAUUGAUUUUUUUCCAUAGGAAUGCAUGGGUUAGGGUUAGGGUUAGGGUUGGAGCUAGGGUUAGUGUUAGGUUUAGGGUUGGAGUUAGGGUUAGUGUUGGAGUUAGGGUUAGGGUUGGGCUUGGAGCUAGGAUUUUUCUGAGUGCAAUGAACCAACUCCCGAGUCUCUAGGACGUUCCUAAAAAAAUUUGAUUUUUUCCCAUAGGAAUGCAUGGGUUAGGGUUAGGGUUAGGGUUGGAGCUAGGGUUAGGGUUAGGGUUAGGGUUGGAGUUAGGGUUAGUGUUGGAGCUAGGGUUAGGGUUGGGCUUGGAGCUAGGAUUUUUCUGAGUGCACUGAACCAACUCCCGAGUCUCUAGGACAUUCCUAAAAAAAUUUGAUUUUUUCCCAUAGGAAUGCAUGGGUUAGGGUUAUGGUUAGGGUUAGGGUUGGAGCUAGGGUUAGGGUUAGGGUUAGGGUUGGAGUUAGGGUUAGUGUUGGAGCUAGGGUUAGGGUUGGGCUUGGAGCUAGGAUUUUUCUGAGAGGCACUGAACCAACUCCCGAGUCUCUAGGACAUUCCUAAAAAAAUUUGAUUUUUCCCAUAGGAAUGCAUGGGUUAGGGUUAUGGUUAGGGUUAGGGUUGGAGCUAGGGUUAGGGUUAGGGUUAGGGUUGGAGUUAUGGUUAGUGUUGGAGCUAGGGUUAGGGUUGGGCUUGGAGCUAGGAUUUUUCUGAGUGCAAUGAACCAACUCCCGAGUCUCUAGGACGUUCCUAAAAAAAUUUGAUUUUUUCCCAUAGGAAUGCAUGGGUUAGGGUUAGGGUUAGGGUUGGAGCUAGGGUUAGGGUUAGGGUUAGGGUUAGGGUUGGAGUUAGGGUUAGUGUUGGAGCUAGGGUUAGGGUUGGGCUUGGAGCUAGGAUUUUUCUGAGUGCACUGAACCAACUCCCGAGUCUCUAGGACAUUCCUAAAAAAAUUUGAUUUUUUCCCAUAGGAAUGCAUGGGUUAGGGUUAGGGUUAGGGUUGGAGCUAGGGUUAGGGUUAGGGUUAGGGUUGGAGUUAGGGUUAGUGUUGGAGCUAGGGUUAGGGUUGGGCUUGGACUAGGAUUUUUCUGAGUGCACUGAACCAACUCCCGAGUCUCUAGGACAUUCCUAAAAAAAUUUGAUUUUUUCCCAUAGGAAUGCAUGGGUUAGGGUUAUGGUUAGGGUUAGGGUUGGAGCUAGGGUUAGGGUUAGGGUUAGGGUUGGAGUUAGGGUUAGUGUUGGAGCUAGGGUUAGGGUUGGGCUUGGAGCUAGGAUUUUUCUGAGUGCAAUGAACCAACUCCCGAGUCUCUUGGACGUUCCUAAAAAAAUUUGAUUUUUUCCCAUAGGAAUGCAUGGGUUAGGGUUAGGGUUAGGGUUGGAGCUAGGGUUAGGGUUAGGGUUAGGGUUGGAGUUAGGGUUAGUGUUGGAGCUAGGGUUAGGGUUGGGCUUGGAGCUAGGAUUUUUCUGAGUGCACUGAACCAACUCCCGAGUCUCUAGGACAUUCCUAAAAAAAUUUGAUUUUUUCCCAUAGGAAUGCAUGGGUUAGGGUUAUGUUUAGGGUUAGGGUUGGAGCUAGGGUUAGGGUUAGGGUUAGGGUUGGAGUUAGGGUUAGUGUUGGAGCUAGGGUUAGGGUUGGGCUUGGAGCUAGGAUUUUUCUGAGUGCAAUGAACCAACUCCCGAGUCUCUUGGACGUUCCUAAAAAAAUUUGAUUUUUUCCCAUAGGAAUGCAUGGGUUAGGGUUAGGGUUAGGGUUGGAGCUAGGGUUAGGGUUAGGGUUAGGGUUGGAGUUAGGGUUAGUGUUGGAGCUAGGGUUAGGGUUGGGCUUGGAGCUAGGAUUUUUCUGAGUGCAAUGAACCAACUCCCGAGUCUCUAGGACGUUCCUAAAAAAAUUUGAUUUUUUCCCAUAGGAAUGCAUGGGUUAGGGUUAGGGUUAGGGUUAGGGUUGGAGCUAGGGUUAGGGUUAGGGUUAGGGUUGGAGUUAGGGUUAGUGUUGGAGCUAGGGUUAGGGUUGGGCUUGGAGCUAGGAUUUUUCUGAGUGCAAUGAACCAACCCCGAGUCUCUAGGACGUUCCUAAAAAAUUUGAUUUUUUCCCAUAGGAAUGCAUGGGUUAGGGUUAUGGUUAGGGUUAGGGUUGGAGCUAGGGUUAGGGUUAGGGUUAGGGUUGGAGUUAGGGUUAGUGUUUGAGCUAGGGUUAGGGUUGGGCUUGGAGCUAGGAUUUUUCUGAGUGCAAUGAACCAACUCCCGAGUCUCUAGGACGUUCCUAAAAAAAUUUGAUUUUUUCCCAUAGGAAUGCAUGGGUUAGGGUUAGGGUUAGGGUUGGAGCUAGGGUUAGGGUUAGGGUUAGGGUUGGAGUUAGGGUUAGUGUUGGAGCUAGGGUUAGGGUUGGGCUUGGAGCUAGGAUUUUUCUGAGUGCAAUGAACCAACUCCCGAGUCUCUAGGACGUUCCUAAAACAAUUUGAUUUUUUCCCAUAGGAAUGCAUGGGUUAGGGUUAGGGUUAGGGUUGGAGCUAGGGUUAGGGUUAGGGUUAGGGUUGGAGUUAGGGUUAGUGUUGGAGCUAGGGUUAGGGUUGGGCUUGGAGCUAGGACUUUUCUGAGUGCAAUGAACCAACUCCCGAGUCUCUAGGACGUUCCCUAAAAAAAUUUGAUUUUUUCCCAUAGGAAUGCAUGGGUUAGGGUUAGGGUUAGGGUUGGAGCUAGGGUUAGGGUUAGGGUUAGGGUUAGAGUUAGGGUUAGUGUUGGAGCUAGGGUUAGGGUUGGGCUUGGAGCUAGGAUUUUUCUGAGUGCACUGAACCAACUCCCGAGUCUCUAGGACAUUCCUAAAAAAAUUGAUUUUUUUCCAUAGGAAUGCAUGGGUUAGGGUUAGGGUUAGGGUUGGAGCUAGGGUUAGUGUUAGGUUUAGGGUUGGAGUUAGGGUUAGUGUUGGAGCUAGGGUUAGGGUUGGGCUUGGAGCUAGGAUUUUUCUGAGUGCAAUGAACCAACUCCCGAGUCUCUAGGACGUUCCUAAAAAAAUUGAUUUUUUCCCAUAGGAAUGCAUGGGUUAGGGUUAGGGUUAGGGUUGGAGCUAGGGUUAGGGUUAGGGUUAGGGUUGGAGUUAGGGUUAGUGUUGGAGCUAGGGUUAGGGUUGGGCUUGGAGCUAGGAUUUUUCUGAGUGCAAUGAACCAACUCCCGAGUCUCUAGGACGUUCCUAAAAAAAUUUGAUUUUUUCCCAUAGGAAUGCAUGGGUUAGGGUUAGGGUUAGGGUUGGAGCUAGGGUUAGGGUUAGGGUUAGGGUUGGAGUUAGGGUUAGUGUUGGAGCUAGGGUUAGGGUUGGGCUUGGAGCUAGGAUUUUUCUGAGUGCACUGAACCAACUCCCGAGUCUCUAGGACAUUCCUAAAAAAAUUUGAUUUUUUCCCAUAGGAAUGCAUGGGUUAGGGUUAGGGUUAGGGUUGGAGCUAGGGUUAGGGUUAGGGUUGGAGUUAGGGUUAGUGUUGGAGCUAGGGUUAGGGUUGGGCUUGGAGCUAGGACUUUUCUGAGUGCAAUGAACCAACUCCCGAGUCUCUAGGACGUUCCCUAAAAAAAAUUGAUUUUUUCCCAUAGGAAUGCAUGGGUUAGGGUUAGGGUUAGGGUUGGAGCUAGGGUUAGGGUUAGGGUUAGGGUUAGAGUUAGGGUUAGUGUUGGAGCUAGGGUUAGGGUUGGGCUUGGAGCUAGGAUUUUUCUGAGUGCACUGAACCAACUCCCGAGUCUCUAGGACAUUCCUAAAAAAAAUUGAUUUUUUUCCCAUAGGAAUGCAUGGGUUAGGGUUAGGGUUAGGGUUGGAGCUAGGGUUAGUGUUAGGUUUAGGGUUGGAGUUAGGGUUAGUGUUGGAGUUAGGGUUAGGGUUGGGCUUGGAGCUAGGAUUUUUCUGAGUGCAAUGAACCAACUCCCGAGUCUCUAGGACGUUCCUAAAAAAAUUUGAUUUUUUCCCAUAGGAAUGCAUGGGUUAGGGUUAGGGUUAGGGUUGGAGCUAGGGUUAGGGUUAGGGUUAGGGUUGGAGUUAGGGUUAGUGUUGGAGCUAGGGUUAGGGUUGGGCUUGGAGCUAGGAUUUUUCUGAGUGCACUGAACCAACUCCCGAGUCUCUAGGACAUUCCUAAAAAAAUUUGAUUUUUUCCCAUAGGAAUGCAUGGGUUAGGGUUAUGGUUAGGGUUAGGGUUGGAGCUAGGGUUAGGGUUAGGGUUAGGGUUGGAGUUAGGGUUAGUGUUGGAGCUAGGGUUAGGGUUGGGCUUGGAGCUAGGAUUUUUCUGAGAGCACUGAACCAACUCCCGAGUCUCUAGGACAUUCCUAAAAAAAUUUGAUUUUUUCCCAUAGGAAUGCAUGGGUUAGGGUUAUGGUUAGGGUUAGGGUUGGAGCUAGGGUUAGGGUUAGGGUUAGGGUUGGAGUUAUGGUUAGUGUUGGAGCUAGGGUUAGGGUUGGGCUUGGAGCUAGGAUUUUUCUGAGUGCAAUGAACCAACUCCAGAGUCUCUAGGACGUUCCUAAAAAAAUUUGAUUUUUUCCCAUAGGAAUGCAUGGGUUAGGGUUAGGGUUAGGGUUGGAGCUAGGGUUAGGGUUAGGGUUAGGGUUAGGGUUGGAGUUAGGGUUAGUGUUGGAGCUAGGGUUAGGGUUGGGCUUGGAGCUAGGAUUUUUCUGAGUGCACUGAACCAACUCCCGAGUCUCUAGGACAUUCCUAAAAAAAUUUGAUUUUUUCCCAUAGGAAUGCAUGGGUUAGGGUUAGGGUUAGGGUUGGAGCUAGGGUUAGGGUUAGGGUUAGGGUUGGAGUUAGGGUUAGUGUUGGAGCUAGGGUUAGGGUUGGGCUUGGAGCUAGGAUUUUUCUGAGUGCACUGAACCAACUCCCGAGUCUCUAGGACAUUCCUAAAAAAUUUGAUUUUUUCCCAUAGGAAUGCAUGGGUUAGGGUUAUGGUUAGGGUUAGGGUUGGAGCUAGGGUUAGGGUUAGGGUUAGGGUUGGAGUUAGGGUUAGUGUUGGAGCUAGGGUUAGGGUUGGGCUUGGAGCUAGGAUUUUUCUGAGUGCAAUGAACCAACUCCCGAGUCUCUUGGACGUUCCUAAAAAAAUUUGAUUUUUUCCCAUAGGAAUGCAUGGGUUAGGGUUAGGGUUAGGGUUGGAGCUAGGGUUAGGGUUAGGGUUAGGGUUGGAGUUAGGGUUAGUGUUGGAGCUAGGGUUAGGGUUGGGCUUGGAGCUAGGAUUUUUCUGAGUGCACUGAACCAACUCCCGAGUCUCUAGGACAUUCCUAAAAAAAUUAGAUUUUUUCCCAUAGGAAUGCAUGGGUUAGGGUUAUGUUUAGGGUUAGGGUUGGAGCUAGGGUUAGGGUUAGGGUUAGGGUUGGAGUUAGGGUUAGUGUUGGAGCUAGGGUUAGGGUUGGGCUUGGAGCUAGGAUUUUUCUGAGUGCAAUGAACCAACUCCCGAGUCUCUUGGACGUUCCUAAAAAAAUUUGAUUUUUUCCCAUAGGAAUGCAUGGGUUAGGGUUAGGGUUAGGGUUGGAGCUAGGGUUAGGGUUAGGGUUAGGGUUGGAGUUAGGGUUAGUGUUGGAGCUAGGGUUAGGGUUGGGCUUGGAGCUAGGAUUUUUCUGAGUGCAAUGAACCAACUCCCGAGUCUCUAGGACGUUCCUAAAAAAAUUUGAUUUUUUCCCAUAGGAAUGCAUGGGUUAGGGUUAGGGUUAGGGUUGGAGCUAGGGUUAGGGUUAGGGUUAGGGUUGGAGUUAAGGUUAGUGUUGGAGCUAGGGUUAGGGUUGGGCUUGGAGCUAGGAUUUUUCUGAGUGCAAUGAACCAACUACCGAGUCUCUAGGACGUUCCUAAAAAAAUUUGAUUUUUUCCCAUAGGAAUGCAUGGGUUAGGGUUAUGGUUAGGGUUAGGGUUGGAGCUAGGGUUAGGGUUAGGGUUAGGGUUGGAGUUAGGGUUAGUGUUGGAGCUAGGGUUAGGGUUGGGCUUGGAGCUAGGAUUUUUCUGAGUGCAAUGAACCAACCCCCGAGUCUCUAGGACGUUCCUAAAAAAAUUUGAUUUUUUCCCAUAGGAAUGCAUGGGUUAGGGUUAUGGUUAGGGUUAGGGUUGGAGCUAGGGUUAGGGUUAGGGUUAGGGUUGGAGUUAGGGUUAGUGUUGGAGCUAGGGUUAGGGUUGGGCUUGGAGCUAGGAUUUUUCUGAGUGCAAUGAACCAACUCCCGAGUCUCUAGGACAUUCCUAAAAAAAUUUGAUUUUUUCCCAUAGGAAUGCAUGGGUUAGGGUUAGGGUUAGGGUUGGAGCUAGGGUUAGGGUUAGGGUUAGGGUUGGAGUUAGGGUUAGUGUUGGAGCUAGGGUUAGGGUUGGGCUUGGAGCUAGGAUUUUUCUGAGUGCAAUGAACCAACUCCCGAGUCUCUAGGACGUUCCUAAAAAAAUUUGAUUUUUUCCCAUAGGAAUGCAUGGGUUAGGGUUAGGGUUAGGGUUGGAGCUAGGGUUAGGGUUAGGGUUAGGGUUAGUGUUGGAGCUAGGGUUAGGGUUGGGCUUGGAGCUAGGAUUUUUCUGAGUGCACUGAACCAACUCCCGAGUCUCUAGGACAUUCCUAAAAAAAUUAGAUUUUUUCCCAUAGGAAUGCAUGGGUUAGGGUUAGGGUUAGGCUUGGAGCUAGGGUUAGGGUUAGGGUUAGGGUUGGAGUUAGGGUUAGUGUUGGAGCUAGGGUUAGGGUUGGGCUUGGAGCUAGGAUUUUUCUGAGUGCAAUGAACCAACUCCCGAGUCUCUAGGACGUUCCUAAAAAAAUUUGAUUUUUUCCCAUAGGAAUGCAUGGGUUAGGGUUAGGGUUAGGGUUGGAGCUAGGGUUAGGGUUAGGGUUAGGGUUGGAGUUAGGGUUAGUGUUGGAGCUAGGGUUAGGGUUGGGCUUGGAGCUAGGAUUUUUCUGAGUGCACUGAACCAACUCCCGAGUCUCUAGGACAUUCCUAAAAAAAUUUGAUUUUUUCCCAUAGGAAUGCAUGGGUUAGGGUUAUGGUUAGGGUUAGGGUUGGAGCUAGGGUUAGGGUUAGGGUUAGGGUUGGAGUUAGGGUUAGUGUUGGAGCUAGGGUUAGGGUUGGGCUUGGAGCUAGGAUUUUUCUGAGUGCACUGAACCAACUCCCGAGUCUCUAGGACAUUCCUAAAAAAAUUUGAUUUUUUCCCAUAGGAAUGCAUGGGUUAGGGUUAGGGUUAGGCUUGGAGCUAGGGUUAGGGUUAGGGUUAGGGUUGGAGUUAGGGUUAGUGUUGGAGCUAGGGUUAGGGUUGGGCUUGGAGCUAGGAUUUUUCUGAGUGCACUGAACCAACUCCCGAGUCUCUAGGACAUUCCUAAAAAAAAUUGAUUUUUUUCCCAUAGGAAUGCAUGGGUUAGGGUUAUGGUUAGGGUUAGGGUUGGAGCUAGGGUUAGGGUUGGAGUUAGGGUUAGUGUUGGAGCUAGGGUUAGGGUUAGGGUUAGGGUUAGGGUUAGGGUUAGGGUUAGGUUAGGGUUAGGGUUGGAGCUAGGGUUAGGGUUAGGGUUAGGGUUGGAGUUAGGGUUAGUGUUGGACCUAGGGUUAGGGUUGGGCUUGGAGCUAGGAUUUUUCUGAGUGCAAUGAACCAACUCCCGAGUCUCUAGGACGUUCCUAAACAAAUUUGAUUUUUUCCCAUAGGAAUGCAUGGGUUAGGGUUAGGGUUAGGGUUGGAGCUAGGGUUAGGGUUAGGGUUAGGGUUGGAGUUAGGGUUAGUGUUGGAGCUAGGGUUAGGGUUGGGCUUGGAGCUAGGAUUUUUCUGAGUGCAAUGAACCAACUCCCGAGUCUCUAGGACGUUCCUAAAAAAUUUGAUUUUUUCCCAUAGGAAUGCAUGGGUUAGGGUUAGGGUUAGGGUUGGAGCUAGGGUUAGGGUUAGGGUUAGGGUUGGAGUUAAGGUUAGUGUUGGAGCUAGGGUUAGGGUUGGGCUUGGAGCUAGGAUUUUUCUGAGUGCAAUGAACCAACUCCCGAGUCUCUAGGACGUUCCUAAAAAAAAUUGAUUUUUUCCCAUAGGAAUGCAUGGGUUAGGGUUAUGGUUAGGGUUAGGGUUGGAGCUAGGGUUAGGGUUAGGGUUAGGGUUGGAGUUAGGGUUAGUGUUGGAGCUAGGGUUAGGGUUGGGCUUGGAGCUAGGAUUUUUCUGAGUGCAAUGAACCAACCCCCGAGUCUCUAGGACGUUCCUAAAAAAAUUUGAUUUUUUCCCAUAGGAAUGCAUGGGUUAGGGUUAUGGUUAGGGUUAGGGUUGGAGCUAGGGUUAGGGUUAGGGUUAGGGUUGGAGUUAGGGUUAGUGUUGGAGCUAGGGUUAGGGUUGGGCUUGGAGCUAGGAUUUUUCUGAGUGCAAUGAACCAACUCCCGAGUCUCUAGGACGUUCCUAAAAAAAUUUGAUUUUUUUCCCCNNNNNNNNNNNNNNNNNNNNNNNNNNNNNNNNNNNNNNNNNNNNNNNNNNNNNNNNNNNNNNNNNNNNNNNNNNNNNNNNNNNNNNNNNNNNNNNNNNNNNNNNNNNNNNNNNNNNNNNNNNNNNNNNNNNNNNNNNNNNNNNNNNNNNNNNNNNNNNNNNNNNNNNNNNNNNNNNNNNNNNNNNNNNNNNNNNNNNNNNGUCUCUGAGGACAUUCCUAAAAAAAAUUUGAUUUUUCCCAUAGGAAUGCAUGGAGUUGGGGUUAGGGUUAGGGUUGGAGCUAGGGUUAGGGUUAGGGUUGGGGUUGGAGUUAGGGUUAGUGUUGGAGCUAGGGUUAGGGUUGGGCUUGGAGCUAGGAUUUUUCUGAGUGCAAUGAACCAACUCCCGAGUCUCUAGGACGUUCCUAAAAAAAUUUGAUUUUUUCCCAUAGGAAUGCAUGGGUUAGGGUUAGGGUUAGGGUUGGAGCUAGGGUUAGGGUUAGGGUUAGGGUUGGAGUUAGGGUUAGUGUUGGAGCUAGGGUUAGGGUUGGGCUUGGAGCUAGGAUUUUUCUGAGUGCACUGAACCAACUCCCGAGUCUCUAGGACGUUCCUAAAAAAAUUUGAUUUUUUUCCCAUAGGAAUGCAUGGGUUAGGGUUAUGGUUAGGGUUGGAGCUAGGGUUAGGGUUAGGGUUAGGGUUGGAGUUAGGGUUAGUGUUGGAGCUAGGGUUAGGGUUGGGCUUGGAGCUAGGAUUUUUCUGAGUGCACUGAACCAACUCCCGAGUCUCUAGGACGUUCCUAAAAAAAUUUGAUUUUUUCCCAUAGGAAUGCAUGGGUUAGGGUUAGGGUUAGGGUUGGAGCUAGGGUUAGGGUUAGGGUUAGGGUUGGAGUUAGGGUUAGUGUUGGAGCUAGGGUUAGGGUUGGGCUUGGAGCUAGGAUUUUUCUGAGUGCACUGAACCAACUCCCGAGUCUCUAGGACGUUCCUAAAAAAAAAUUUGAUUUUUUCCCAUAGGAAAUGCAUGGGUUAGGGUUAGGGUUAGGGUUGGAGCUAGGGUUAGGGUUAGGGUUAGGGUUGGAGUUAGGGUUAGUGUUGGAGCUAGGGUUAGGGUUGGGCUUGGAGCUAGGAUUUUUCUGAGUGCACUGAACCAACUCCCGAGUCUCUAGGACAUUCCUAAAAAAAUUUGAUUUUUUCCCAUAGGAAUGCAUGGGUUAGGGUUAUGGUUGGGGUUAGGGUUGGAGCUAGGGUUAGGGUUAGGGUUAGGGUUGGAGUUAGGGUUAGUGUUGGAGCUAGGGUUAGGGUUGGGCUUGGAGCUAGGAUUUUUCUGAGUGCACUGAACCAACUCCCGAGUCUCUAGGACAUUCCUAAAAAAAAUUGAUUUUUUCCCAUAGGAAUGCAUGGGUUAGGGUUAUGGUUAGGGUUAGGGUUGGAGCUAGGGUUAGGGUUAGGGUUAGGGUUGGAGUUAGGGUUAGUGUUGGAGCUAGGGUUAGGGUUGGGCUUGGAGCUAGGAUUUUUCUGAGUGCACUGAACCAACUCCCGAGUCUCUAGGACAUUCCUAAAAAAAUUUGAUUUUUCCCAUAGGAAUGCAUGGGUUAGGGUUAGGGUUAGGGUUGGAGCUAGGGUUAGGGUUAGGGUUAGGGUUGGAGUUAGGGUUAGUGUUGGAGCUAGGGUUAGGGUUGGGCUUGGAGCUAGGAUUUUUCUGAGUGCACUGAACCAACUCCCGAGUCUCUAGGACAUUCCUAAAAAAAUUUGAUUUUUUCCCAUAGGAAUGCAUGGGUUAGGGUUAGGGUUAGGGUUGGAGCUAGGGUUAGGGUUAGGGUUAGGGUUGGAGUUAGGGUUAGUGUUGGAGCUAGGGUUAGGGUUGGGCUUGGAGCUAGGAUUUUUCUGAGUGCACUGAACCAACUCCCGAGUCUCUAGGACAUUCCUAAAAAAAUUUGAUUUUUCCCAUAGGAAUGCAUGGGUUAGGGUUAUGGUUAGUUAGGGUUGGAGCUAGGGUUAGGGUUAGGGUUAGGGUUGGAGUUAGGGUUAGUGUUGGAGCUAGGGUUAGGGUUGGGCUUGGAGCUAGGAUUUUUCUGAGUGCAAUGAACCAACUCCCGAGUCUCUAGGACGUUCCUAAAAAAAUUUGAUUUUUUUCCCAUAGGAAUGCAUGGGUUAGGGUUAGGGUUAGGGUUAGGGUUGGAGCUAGGGUUAGGGUUAGGGUUAGGGUUGGAGUUAGGGUUAGUGUUGGAGCUAGGGUUAGGGUUGGGCUUGGAGCUAGGAUUUUUCUGAGUGCAAUGAACCAACUCCCGAGUCUCUAGGACGUUCCUAAAAAAAUUUGAUUUUUUCCCAUAGGAAUGCAUGGGUUAGGGUUAUGGUUAGGGUUAGGGUUGGAGCUAGGGUUAGGGUUAGGGUUAGGGUUGGAGUUAGGGUUAGUGUUGGAGCUAGGGUUAGGGUUGGGCUUGGAGCUAGGAUUUUCUGAGUGCAAUGAACCAACUCCCGAGUCUCUAGGACGUUCCUAAAAAAAUUUGAUUUUUUCCCAUAGGAAUGCAUGGGUUAGGGUUAGGGUUAGGGUUGGAGCUAGGGUUAGGGUUAGGGUUAGGGUUGGAGUUAGGGUUAGUGUUGGAGCUAGGGUUAGGGUUGGGCUUGGAGCUAGGAUUUUUCUGAGUGCAAUGAACCAACUCCCGAGUCUCUAGGACGUUCCUAAAAAAUUUGAUUUUUUCCCAUAGGAAUGCAUGGGUUAGGGUUAGGGUUAGGGUUAGGGUUGGAGCUAGGGUUAGGGUUAGGGUUAGGGUUGGAGUUAGGGUUAGUGUUGGAGCUAGGGUUAGGGUUGGGCUUGGAGCUAGGAUUUUCUGAGUGCACUGAACCAACUCCCGAGUCUCUAGGACAUUCCUAAAAAAAUUUGAUUUUUUCCCAUAGGAAUGCAUGGGUUAGGGUUAGGGUUAGGGUUAGGGUUGGAGCUAGGGUUAGGGUUAGGGUUAGGGUUGGAGUUAGGGUUAGUGUUGGAGCUAGGGUUAGGGUUGGGCUUGGAGCUAGGAUUUUUCUGAGUGCACUGAACCAACUCCCGAGUCUCUAGGACAUUCCUAAAAAAAUUUGAUUUUUCCCAUAGGAAUGCAUGGGUUAGGGUUAGGGUUAGGGUUGGAGCUAGGGUUAGGGUUAGGGUUGGAGUUAGGGUUAGUGUUGGAGCUAGGGUUAGGGUUGGGCUUGGAGCUAGGAUUUUUCUGAGUGCAAUGAACCAACUCCCGAGUCUCUAGGACGUUCCUAAAAAAUUUGAUUUUUUCCCAUAGGAAUGCAUGGGUUAGGGUUAGGGUUAGGGUUGGAGCUAGGGUUAGGGUUAGGGUUAGGGUUGGAGUUAGGGUUAGUGUUGGAGCUAGGGUUAGGGUUGGGCUUGGAGCUAGGAUUUUUCUGAGUGCACUGAACCAACUCCCGAGUCUCUAGGACGUUCCUAAAAAAAUUUGAUUUUUUCCCAUAGGAAUGCAUGGGUUAGGGUUAGGGUUAGGGUUAGGGUUGGAGCUAGGGUUAGGGUUAGGGUUAGGGUUGGAGUUAGGGUUAGUGUUGGAGCUAGGGUUAGGGUUGGGCUUGGAGCUAGGAUUUUUCUGAGUGCACUGAACCAACUCCCGAGUCUCUCUAGGAGGCGUUCCUAAAAAAUUUGAUUUUUUCCCAUAGGAAUGCAUGGGUUAGGGUUAGGGUUAGGGUUAGGGUUGGAGCUAGGGUUAGGGUUAGGGUUAGGGUUGGAGUUAGGGUUAGUGUUGGAGCUAGGGUUAGGGUUGGGCUUGGAGCUAGGAUUUUUCUGAGUGCAAUGAACCAACUCCCGAGUCUCUUGGACGUUCCUAAAAAAAUUUGAUUUUUUUCCCAUAGGAAUGCAUGGGUUAGGGUUAGGGUUAGGGUUGGAGCUAGGGUUAGGGUUAGGGUUAGGGUUGGAGUUAGGGUUAGUGUUGGAGCUAGGGUUAGGGUUGGGCUUGGAGCUAGGAUUUUUCUGAGUGCACUGAACCAACUCCCGAGUCUCUAGGACAUUCCUAAAAAAAUUUGAUUUUUUCCCAUAGGAAUGCAUGGGUUAGGGUUAGGGUUAGGGUUGGAGCUAGGGUUAGGGUUAGGGUUAGGGUUGGAGUUAGGGUUAGUGUUGGAGCUAGGGUUAGGGUUGGGCUUGGAGCUAGGAUUUUUCUGAGUGCACUGAACCAACUCCCGAGUCUCUAGGACAUUCCUAAAAAAAUUUGAUUUUUUCCCAUAGGAAUGCAUGGGUUAGGGUUAUGGUUAGGGUUAGGGUUGGAGCUAGGGUUAGGGUUAGGGUUAGGGUUGGAGUUAGGGUUAGUGUUGGAGCUAGGGUUAGGGUUGGGCUUGGAGCUAGGAUUUUUCUGAGUGCACUGAACCAACUCCCGAGUCUCUAGGACGUUCCUAAAAAAUUUGAUUUUUUCCCAUAGGAAUGCAUGGGUUAGGGUUAUGGUUAGGGUUAGGGUUGGAGCUAGGGUUAGGGUUAGGGUUAGGGUUGGAGUUAGGGUUAGUGUUGGAGCUAGGGUUAGGGUUGGGCUUGGAGCUAGGAUUUUUCUGAGUGCACUGAACCAACUCCCGAGUCUCUAGGACAUUCCUAAAAAAAUUUGAUUUUUUUCCCAUAGGAAUGCAUGGGUUAGGGUUAGGGUUAGGGUUGGAGCUAGGGUUAGGGUUAGGGUUAGGGUUGGAGUUAGGGUUAGUGUUGGAGCUAGGGUUAGGGUUGGGCUUGGAGCUAGGAUUUUUCUGAGUGCACUGAACCAACUCCCGAGUCUCUAGGACAUUCCUAAAAAAAAAUUUGAUUUUUUCCCAUAGGAAUGCAUGGGUUAGGGUUAUGGUUAGGGUUAGGGUUGGAGCUAGGGUUAGGGUUAGGGUUAGGGUUGGAGUUAGGGUUAGUGUUGGAGCUAGGGUUAGGGUUGGGCUUGGAGCUAGGAUUUUUCUGAGUGCACUGAACCAACUCCCGAGUCUCUAGGACAUUCCUAAAAAAAAAUUGAUUUUUUCCCAUAGGAAUGCAUGGGUUAGGGUUAUGGUUAGGGUUAGGGUUGGAGCUAGGGUUAGGGUUAGGGUUAGGGUUGGAGUUAGGGUUAGUGUUGGAGCUAGGGUUAGGGUUGGGCUUGGAGCUAGGAUUUUUCUGAGUGCAAUGAACCAACUCCCGAGUCUCUAGGACAUUCCUAAAAAAAUUUGAUUUUUUCCCAUAGGAAUGCAUGGGUUAGGGUUAGGGUUAGGGUUGGAGCUAGGGUUAGGGUUAGGGUUGGGUUGGAGUUAGGGUUAGUGUUGGAGCUAGGGUUAGGGUUGGGCUUGGAGCUAGGAUUUUUCUGAGUGCAAUGAACCAACUCCCGAGUCUCUAGGACAUUCCUAAAAAAAUUUGAUUUUUUCCCAUAGGAAUGCAUGGGUUAGGGUUAGGGUUAGGGUUGGAGCUAGGGUUAGGGUUAGGGUUAGGGUUGGAGUUAGGGUUAGUGUUGGAGCUAGGGUUAGGGUUGGGCUUGGAGCUAGGAUUUUUCUGAGUGCAAUGAACCAACUCCCGAGUCUCUAGGACAUUCCUAAAAAAAAAUUUGAUUUUUUCCCAUAGGAAUGCAUGGGUUAGGGUUAUGGUUAGGGUUAGGGUUGGAGCUAGGGUUAGGGUUAGGGUUAGGGUUGGAGUUAGGGUUAGUGUUGGAGCUAGGGUUAGGGUUGGGCUUGGAGCUAGGAUUUUUCUGAGUGCAAUGAACCAACUCCCGAGUCUCUAGGACGUUCUAAAAAAAAUUUGAUUUUUUCCCAUAGGAAUGCAUGGGUUAGGGUUAUGGUUAGGGUUAGGGUUGGAGCUAGGGUUAGGGUUAGGGUUAGGGUUGGAGUUAGGGUUAGUGUUGGAGCUAGGGUUAGGGUUGGGCUUGGAGCUAGGAUUUUUCUGAGUGCAAUGAACCAACUCCCGAGUCUCUAGGACGUUCCUAAAAAAAUUUGAUUUUUUCCCAUAGGAAUGCAUGGGUUAGGGUUAGGGUUAGGGUUGGAGCUAGGGUUAGGGUUAGGGUUAGGGUUGGAGUUAGGGUUAGUGUUGGAGCUAGGGUUAGGGUUGGGCUUGGAGCUAGGAUUUUUCUGAGUGCAAUGAACCAACUCCCGAGUCUCUAGGACGUUCCUAAAAAAAAAUUUGAUUUUUUCCCAUAGGAAUGCAUGGGUUAGGGUUAGGGUUAGGGUUGGAGCUAGGGUUAGGGUUAGGGUUAGGGUUGGAGUUAGGGUUAGUGUUGGAGCCAGGGUUAGGGUUGGGCUUGGAGCUAGGAUUUUUCUGAGUGCACUGAACCAACUCCCGAGUCUCUAGGACAUUCCUAAAAAAUUUGAUUUUUUUCCCAUAGGAAUGCAUGGGUUAGGGUUAGUGGUUAGGGUUAGGGUUGGAGCUAGGGUUAGGGUUAGGGUUAGGGUUGGAGUUAGGGUUAGUGUUGGAGCUAGGGUUAGGGUUGGGCUUGGAGCUAGGAUUUUUCUGAGUGCAAUGAACCAACCCCCGAGUCUCUAGGACGUUCCUAAAAAAAUUUGAUUUUUUCCCUAUAGGAAUGCAUGGGUUAGGGUUAGGGUUAGGGUUGGAGCUAGGGUUAGGGUUAGGGUUAGGGUUGGAGUUAGGGUUAGUGUUGGAGCUAGGGUUAGGGUUGGGCUUGGAGCUAGGAUUUUUCUGAGUGCAAUGAACCAACUCCCGAGUCUCUAGGACGUUCCUAAAAAAAUUUGAUUUUUUCCCAUAGGAAUGCAUGGGUUAGGGUUAGGGUUAGGGUUGGAGCUAGGGUUAGGGUUAGGGUUAGGGUUGGAGUUAGGGUUAGUGUUGGAGCUAGGGUUAGGGUUGGGCUUGGAGCUAGGUUUUUCUGAGGGUGCACUGAACCAACUCCCGAGUCUCUAGGACAUUCCUAAAAAAAUUUGAUUUUUUCCCAUAGGAAUGCAUGGGUUAGGGUUAUGGUUAGGGUUGGAGCUAGGGUUAGGGUUAGGGUUAGGGUUGGAGUUAGGGUUAGUGUUGGAGCUAGGGUUAGGGUUGGGCUUGGAGCUAGGAUUUUUCUGAGUGCACUGAACCAACUCCCGAGUCUCUAGGACAUUCCUAAAAAAAUUUGAUUUUUUCCCAUAGGAAUGCAUGGGUUAGGGUUAGGGUUAGGGUUGGAGCUAGGGUUAGGGUUAGGGUUAGGGUUGGAGUUAGGGUUAGUGUUGGAGCUAGGGUUAGGGUUGGGCUUGGAGCUAGGAUUUUUCUGAGUGCACUGAACCAACUCCCGAGUCUCUAGGACAUUCCUAAAAAAAUUUGAUUUUUCCCAUAGGAAUGCAUGGGUUAGGGUUAUGGUUAGGGUUAGGGUUGGAGCUAGGGUUAGGGUUAGGGUUAGGGUUGGAGUUAGGGUUAGUGUUGGAGCUAGGGUUAGGGUUGGGCUUGGAGCUAGGAUUUUUCUGAGUGCACUGAACCAACUCCCGAGUCUCUAGGACAUUCCUAAAAAAAUUUGAUUUUUUUCCCAUAGGAAUGCAUGGGUUAGGGUUAGGGUUAUGGUUAGGGUUAGGGUUAGGGUUAGGGUUAGGGUUGGAGUUAGGGUUAGUGUUGGAGCUAGGGUUAGGGUUGGGCUUGGAGCUAGGAUUUUUCUGAGUGCACUGAACCAACUCCCGGGUCUCUAGGACAUUCCUAAAAAAAUUUGAUUUUUUCCCAUAGGAAUGCAUGGGUUAGGGUUAGGGUUAGGGUUGGAGCUAGGGUUAGGGUUAGGGUUAGGGUUGGAGUUAGGGUUAGUGUUGGAGCUAGGGUUAGGGUUGGGCUUGGAGCUAGGAUUUUUCUGAGUGCAAUGAACCAACUCCCGAGUCUCUAGGACAUUCCUAAAAA
rnacentral:lncRNA from 1 species